rnacentral:tRNA from 1 species
UCCUGGUUAGCUUAGUUGGUUGAGCGCUCCAAUGAAAAUGGAGAGGUCCCUGGUUCCCGUACCAGGACCACGCA